UUGAUAAAACAUAAGAGGUCCUACCUGCCCAGUGAUAUGUAUAUGUUCAACGGCCGCGGUAUCUUAACCGUGCAAAGGUAGCGUAAUCAAUUGCCUUUUAAAUGAAAGCUUGUAUGAAUGGUGUGACGAAAACUCAACUGUCUCAUUCUUUUAACCAAUGAAAUUGAUCUCCCCGUGCAGAAGCGGGGAUAAACCCAUAAGACGAAAAGACCCUGUGGAGCUUUAGAUAACGCGACCUAGCAAACUUGCUACAACCUCGCCUACAUCUUAGGUUGGGGCGACCACGGAGAAAAAAAAACCCUCCAUGAAAAAACUUAUGUUUUUACUACCAAGAGCAACCCCUCUAAGCAUUAGAACAUCUAAUUUAUGAACCGGAUACCGAUUAACGAACCAAGUUACCCCAGGGAUAACAGCGCAAUCCCCUUACAGAGCCCGUAUCCACAAGGGGGUUUACGACCUCGAUGUUGGACCAGGACAUCCUAAUGGCGCAACUGCCAUUAAUGGUUCGUUUGUUCAACGAUUAAAGUCCUAC
rnacentral:rRNA from 1 species